ACAGAGCAACCUUUUAGAUCCUAACCUGGCAUGGAGAUUAUACCGUUCAGCUCUUGAGUUGACAAAGAAUCCCUUCUGCUAUUGGUUAGACCAAGUGGGCAGGUGCUCAGCCUCUCAGGAAAUGUCUGUGGUAUGGACUUGAUAAAUGGCUUUCUCUUGCAUGCUCAAAGAUUGCCAUAUUUUGGUAUGAAUGAUCGCCCACUUUACGUAUCAGGAGGUUCUGAAUACACAUGGCAACAGGUGGGUCUGCAUGGACUUAGCUCCAGCCCUGGGAAAUGCACAAUAUAUUGUCAACAUGGAUAGACAAGGACAUGUUGUUCUUGCACACUGCCAGUGACCUUUCUGCGGCAAAGGUAAUGCACACAAGCUUAAUUUCUCGCAGUUCUCGGCUUUUACAGAAAGAUUCUAAGAGGCUCAGUUUUGAACAAGAUUAAACAUGUUCACAGCUGAAAUCUAAAUGGGUUCUGCAUCGAUGUUGAAAUGGUGUGCUUAAACGCUGAUCCCUAAUGCAGCCUACGCGAGACCCACAGCAAAUGUUCUCCCCAGCUGCUGCUCUUCCCAUUAGCAGAACGGGGGAGAAGAAUUAAGGAAUCACCCUCGCAAAAGAAUCUGUAGCCAAGGCUUCAGUAGCUGUCAGUUUGUAGGCGGAAGACUAUAAUAGAUUGGAGAGCGACAGGAAUUCUGAACUCAGGUCAGCUCCUCCAAACGCAACCAUAAUUUUGGGCACUCUUUAUGUGUGCUGCCUUGGUUAUAUUGAGAGCCUCACUUGCAAUUCAUUUUCAGGAAAUUCUCAGCAGCCAUGAGAGCUAGAAUCUUAGGAAAAAAAUUAACUGAGUUGAGUGCCACAUUGUUUUAUUGGCAGUGCUGCAAUUUGGCUGAAGCUGAAGUGAAGAGCAUUGCUUCUUUGAGAGGUGAAGGGCAGCUUCCCAGUGGCAGAUUGUUGACACAAUGGCAGAUUGUAUUCAGUGGCGGAGCUUCAUGCUCCAGCACUGUGGGCGGAGAGCAGGCGGGGCUGGCUCGUGUCCUGGGGGUGGGGCGCCCAGCAUGGGUGGGGUGGGGCAGCCCCGAUGGCACCCUGGGGAUCGUGCUGCUGGGGGCAGUGUGAUCCCCCCGCACUCCUCUUCCUCCGACAGUGAUUGUAUUCAACAUUGCCUUAAGUUCAGAUUUAAAAUGGCAGGUGCUAAUGCAUGUGUGUGGAUUGCAGUGCCGUUGAUACUCUUGUUUGCUUGUUUUCUACACAAGAUAGCAAAGAUGGCAAAGGUGUACAACUAGCAUUUGACAACAAGUAAAAACACCUCAUUAUAUCAAAGCUGCAUAGGGGAAUUUCUAGCUUAUUUCAGAUAUAGACCUUGGUGCUAAACAUACUCCGGAGGAGGGGCUGUGUGUCUGCAGAAUUAAUAAAACCUACACACACAAUUAAUUUCUACAUGAAAACCACCCUCAAAACAUAUAUAUACACACACACACACACACACACACACACACACUUGGCGUAAGAAGCCAUUUAAUCUGAACAAUAAUUUCUGUCCAUUAGAAGCAAUCCAAUAUUGUGUACCUGUUUUCAUACGUCCAUUCCGUCAUGUCCUGCAAUGAUCUGUGUAAUUUUUAAAAAAAAUACUAAUCUGCAUGGAAAUUUGCAUUUAAAUGUAUAUUUUUGAAUAUGUUUUCUUUCAAAACAUGGAUUUUUAAAGGCAAUUGGAUAUUUUUGUGGGUGAGCAGGAGACUCCACCCCCUACACAUUAUGGAUGAUUGGGGCAAAUUUGCAUUUGGAAAGACGGGUCUGUCUGUGGCCAUUAUAUCUUGUCUGGCCCUCAAGUAAUGCAGGGUUAAGCGAAAGGUCAGGAGUCUGUGAUAGAUGCCUUCAAAACUACUUCAAUUUCCUAAAACCCAAGGUAAUGGUGGGGUGGAGUUAACAAAUCAAAGGUCAUGGCACAAGUGAAAGAGUAACGUGCAUAGCUGCAAAUUGUCCAAACAUCCAAGUGUCUACACUGGUAUGUACUUAGUGUCAUCUCCCCUUCCCCAAAAUAAGUGUUUCCUGUUUGGAGUGUGAACCAAUUCCCCAGAGGAUGAAUUAACACUUAUCUAUUAGGCCAGAUAAGACAAAGCCCACGUCUUUCCACCCCUGAAACCAUCUGGGAGUCACCUAAUCCUCAGAGCCCUUUUGUAUACAUCAGAUUGGUGGCAUGUUUAGCAGAUGCUGAUGGAGUCACAACUCUACACCCAUGUCCCAGCUUCCACGUCCCAUGGUACUUACUGUCAGCAAAUGUUGGUAGGUCACUAAAAGGUAAAGGUAAAGGGACCCCUGACCAUUAGGUCCAGUUGUGAUCGACUCUGGAGUUGCGGCACUCAUCUUGCUUUAUUGGCCAAGGGAGUCGACGUACAGCUUCAAGGUCAUGUGGCCAGUAUGGCUAAGCCGCUUCUGGCGAACCAGAGCAGCGCACCGAAACGCCAUUUACCUUCCCGCCAGAGCGGUACCUAUUUAUCUACUUGCACUUUGAUGUGCUUUUGAACUGCUAGGUGGGCAGGAGCAGGGACCGAGCAACGGGAGCUCACCCCAUCGCGGGGAUUCGAACCACCGACCUUCUGAUUGGCAAGUCCUAGGCUCUGUGGUUUAACCAACAGCGCCACCCGCGUCCCUACAUAUUGAUUAUUGCAAGGUCAAUUGACAAUCACACAAUUCACUGUUAUGCCUAAGGGCCAUUCCUUACUGACUCCAGAGCUGAGAUGGAGGGGGGCGUGGAAUGGUUCAUUUCACAUUUCAAUGUGAACCUACCUAAUUCACACUUCCCAAAAUAAUAUCUGGACUAAAAUGAAACUAUGAUUCAAAAUCCACAUUUCUCCUAACGUUGCACUGCAGCUUUCUAGUUAAAUAAUGUCCAUAUAUUAGCGGAAGGCAUACAUAUGCAUGCAUAAGUGCAUCAUGUUGAAUCAUGUCUUGUUGCUCCCCUAGAUCCUCCUUUGGACUGCCCUCCCUGGAGAUGCCAGAGAUUGAACCUGGAACCUUCUGAAUGUAGGUACCCCUAAGCUUCAGUCCUUCCCAUGGAAGCAUGCUGCAAUGUGCUUGACUUCAAUUGGCUUCACUGCAUUUUUAUUCUGAACUGGAUCAGGGCCAAUAUACAGCGAGUUGUUUUGUGCAUGCCAUCUGUCUAUACAUGAUGUCCUCCAUAUGCUACAACAGUGGCUUGAGGUUAGGAGCUGGCAUGCUACCAGUGCUUCAGAAAAGAAGCCCUGACUCUCCUUGCAUCCACACAAAACACAGCUUCGGUGCACCAGUCUGCUCAUCAAAUGUUUUCCAGCUUUGGGAUGCUUCAGAAAUCUCUGGUGCCCAAGGCUAUACUGUAGUGCCUUUAAUUUGAUAUAUCUGUUUCCCAACUAGUUGACCCAGAACACAUUUCCUAGGCAUGCUUCCCUGGUAGCAAGCCCCACUGAACACAGCAGGACUUGCUGUCAAGUAAACAUACAUGAACUUGCAUUCCAUGACUGUGUUGAGUAGAGUAUAGUCCUGUUGAUGCAUUUCCCACUCGUGCGCACUCCUCCCACAAUUGUGAAUUCCACACCCAAUAAUAAUAAUAAUAAUAAUAAUAAUAAUAAUAAUAAUAAUUUAUUAUUUAUACCCCGCCCAUCUGGCUGGGCGGCUUCCAACAAAACACUAAAAUACAAUAACCUAUUAAACAUUAAAAGCUUCCCUAAACAGGACUGCCUUUAGAUGUCUUCUAAAAGUUUGGUAGUUAUUUUUCUCUUUGGCAUCUGAUGGGAGGGCGUUCCACAGGGCGGGUGCCACUACCGAGAAGGCCCUCUGCCUGGUUCCCUGUAACUUGGCUUCUUGCAGCGAGGGAACUGCCAGAAGGCCCUCGCCGCUGGACCUCAGUGUCCAGGCAGAAUGAUGGAGGUGAAGACGGUCCUUCAGGUAUACUGGACCGAGGCUGUUUAGGGCUUUAAAGGUCAGCACCAACACUUUGAAUUGUGCUUGGAAACGUACUGGGAGCCAGUGUAGGUCUUUCAAGACCGGUGUUUCAAGAAAGGUAAGAUGCUCAUCACUGUAUCACUUUUAACAGAUCAGAACCAGGCUGGGCUCCUUUUUUGACUGUUCAGCCUUGCAGCUUAGCAUGUAGAAGGCUCCAGAUUCAAUCCUGACAUCUCCAGGUAGGGCGGAGAAAUCCUCAUGUGUGAACCUGGCAGAGUUUCUGCCAGUCAGUGCAGAUCAGACACAGAGAGCCUAUGGCCCUCCAGAUAUCAUUGAACUGAACUCCCAUCAUCCCAGACCAUUGUUGGUGAGAGUUGGAGCCCAACAACAUAUGUGGUAGGAGGGAGGGCACAGGUUCUCCAUCCUUUCUGUAGACCAGUGUUUCCCGAACUUGGGUCUCCAGCUGUUUUUCAGACUACAAUUCCCAUCAUCCCUGACCACUGGCAUUGCUAGCUAGGGAUGUUGGGAGUUGUAGUCCAAAAGCAGCUGGAGACCCAAGUUCGGGAAACACGGCUGUAGACACUGCUGAGCUAGAUAGAACUGUUGAGCUGAGUCUGUAUAAGGCACUUGCCUACAAACAGGGCAGUGAAGUCCUCUGCUACCGUGCUGAGCUGCAUAUCCAGUUCAAGCUCUGGGCCUGCCUUUCCCCCCUAACUAAAACAAUUUUAAAGAGGUACUAAUCCCUUCCCCCAUAACCUUAACUAUACAAGAAGGAAGCACACAUCAUUUACAGACAGGUUUGUCACCUUCUUUCCUGGACAUCUCUAGUUUUUACCGUAACUGGUGUGUUUUUUUACUGGGGGUUUUUUAACUUAAACAGUAAAAAACUGACAUUAAAGGCUGCAUUUACAGCUUAUCUCAUCACCCACUGCUGCACUGGUCCCCAUUAACAACUUUAUUAUUCAAUGACGAGUCACUAUUUAGUACUGAAUGCAAAUUAGUUAACUCAGAACAGCGGGCAAAGUAUAUAAAAAUUAUGGGAUGUUCCCCAAGGCUAUAGUUCCUGGUCUCGCCUUGAAAAGGUACCCUUGCUUCUGCUAAAGAUAAAAGACAAAGCAGUUAAGCAGAAUAUAGUCGCUGGGGAGCAGAGAAGUGCUGCACAUUCCUAGAAAAGGGUUCUCACCAACAUGCCAGCUCCAAGCGUCAUGAAGCCAUGGCUCACCUUUCUGGUAUGCCUCUUUCCCAGGGUUGGCUGAGUGAGCAGCCUUCCUUAGGAUACUAUUACCUGGCAGAUGUACUUCUGUAUUUUUACCAGACUGGGCAGAAGAUCAGAUGGGGCACCAUUUGAAUUUUCGGCCACCGACAUCACAGUUAUUUGGGCUGUCUCUGAUGCUUCCUCUUUUAGCUGAAGGACACCCCUACUGGCUCUUUUAAUAUGAUAAAGUAUGAUACUGAAAUCUUUGUUUGAUAUACAGUGGUACCUCUGGUUAAGUACUUAAUUCGUUCCGGAGGUCCGUUCUUAACCUGAAACUGUUCUUAACCUGAAGCACCACUUUAGCUAAUGGGGCCUCCUGCUGCCGCCGCGCUGCCGGAGCAUGAUUUCUGUUCUCAUCCUGAAGCAAAGUUCUUAACCUGAAGCACUAUUUCUCAGUUAGUGGAGUGUAACCUGAAGUGUAUGUAACCCGAGGUACCACUGUAUUAUUAGGACUUGUUUUAAACAUUCCUACCUCCUUCACUAGGAAAACAGAAACUUGUUCUUGGAUUCAUUGUCCUCAGACGAGAAAUACUAUAAUCCUACCAUAUAUAUACAUCUUCAUUCAGGUUCCCUCUAAAGCAGGGGUGGCCAACCUGUGGCCAUCUAGAUGUGGCUGGGCUCCAGCUGCCAUUGUCCCUGGCCAUUGGCCAUGCUGGUUGUAGCUGACGGAAGUUGGGAGCCCAACAUCUGGAUGACCCCAGGCUUUAAAAAGGUGCUUUAAUUGCCUAGGAAAAGAGGGGAAGUUACUAUUUACUCUGCUUCAGCUAAUGUGGAGUGUAGCAGCGCAAUAGUUAAGCUGGUGACAUUAAAAAUGAAAACAAAACAAAAACCAUAAUCCUGAUCAAGUUUGAAUUAUGUAAGGUGCUAUUCUGCCUCUCAGCAUACACUCCAGGGGGUGGAGAAACGUUUGGAUUUGUGUAGGACAGCCAACAAACUUGGAAUGGCCCUGAUUUUAGUCCAGAUAUUCAAAGCCAGAAUUUAUACGGUUUCCCCCUAGUGCUUAAAAGGUGUUGCACAUAAUAAGGCAAGGCACUAUUUCAGUAACGCCUUGCUCGAAAGAGAUUUUUAAAAAUCGCUAUGACAAUCAUUUCCCAUCUCCCAAAGAGGGUGAGAGCUGCAAUUUAUGCUCCCAAAGACUACCUUUUUCUUAAAGCUCUUAAGGAACAUUUUCGGUAAUAAUGGCUGAUUUAGAUAGAUUCCCAAGGUGUUGGAUCAUUGCUGAUGACAUUAAUGGUUUAAGGCUCCCUGAAUGUUGAUUGAUUGCCGUAAUCUGCUGAAACUAUUUCAGGACAUAGAUUUAUUAUUAUUAAGCCUAUAAAAUGGUGUCAGGGUCAAAGCAAGCUGAUGAUUUGUUUUGUGAUGCAGACAUUAUACAGGAGCAGAUGAAAUCUUUUAAUAAAUGUGAAAUGCAGGCGAGAACAAUGUUUCAUCUUCUUUCGUUGGAAAAAUCUGUGGCCGGCUAAUACAGAUUACAGCAGCGCAGGGAGAGUGCAUUUCGACUAAGGCUACUCAUGGAAAAUAACCUUCAAGCACCAAACAAGCUCUGAGCUUUGUUUAACAGUAGCACUUCACUUAGACUAUAGACACCUCUUGGGGGGUCUUGCUCCAUGGGCAAGUCUAUAGCAUGGAAGCACAAGAUGGAACAAACUUGCUAGAGCUAAACAGAGUUGUGGCUGAAUGGAAGAACUAUAGGAAUUCCAUGCAUGCUACCUCCAGGUCUAUUGCAAUAAGUUGGUUAUAAGGUGAGGUUCGUCACCUCGGUUGCAUGCAGUGCCUUUUACCAGGUUAAACACCUCAUCUGCUGCAGCCAAUGUAGGCUGAUCCUUUAGGGCCACUGGAUCACAGCCUUGCUGUGAAAACUUGCCAAACUUUUUUUUUUUACUCCAGCCCUCAAAAAAUAUCAAAGCCACACUCUUUCUCGUAUUCUACACACACUUUAUUCAUCUGUCUGAACUCGGAGCAGCUCUGCAAACAUUCUUGUUAAUGUACAGUUCUCUGACCAACCAGCCAAUCCUAAACCAAAAACACAUCUCUGGCAAAGAGAUCCCUCCCGUGUAUCUCUAAGCAGGUAAACCAUGUGGCUGUUCAAACUGCCUGAAAGUCAGACCUACAUGAAAAGCUCGCCUGAUUUGUUGCUAUGAGGGCUAACCAGCAGCAUUCGUACUGGCAUAUUAGGGCUACAUCAAAGGGCUGUCCAAAUAUGCUCAGAGCUCACCUCAAAGCCCAUUAUUUGUAGCUCGUUGGGAGAAGGGUGUGGCCGCUAAUUAAGAGAGAACAGCAAUGGACUGAAUGCACGAGCAUCUUUCUAGAGAAUCUACCGUAGACCAUCUUUUUAAAAACAAAAACAAAAAAGAACCUAAAUCAUUUACUGUUAUUUUUCAGAAUGAGGGAGGAUUGGGAGGGUGGCUUCUGUAGAUGCUGCAACCUUCCCUACUUAAGUUGUUGGAACUGGGUUUCUAGGGGCCAAGUAUAAACUUCCUUUCACUUCCAGGCUUUUUAGCUGUGUGCAGUUGCAUACCCCCCAAUACUUUGAAGCCCAAAUGCAGGAUCCCAUUUUCCCAGAUGCCAUCUUCCCAUUUUUUAAUCGUGAGAGCAUGGCAGCCAUUUUGGUUGCCACAAUCUAGUGUAAUUUUGCACUGUGGUCGUCCCCCCCCCCAGCACUUUUUGGGCCACGGCACCCAAAAACACAUGUUUGGGGGCAUCAUGCAAGAUCACAACCCUUUAAAAAGUGUGUUUUCAGGGGGGAUUGCACCACAAAAUUGCACAAGAGCACGGUGACCAAAAUGGGCAUUGUCUUCUCAUAAUAAAAAUCUGGUUUUUCUGUGACAUUUGUGGGGUAUGCAUUUGGAUGUUCAAUGUGUUAACCAUUGGUCCUAUUGGUCACUUUCUAGCCUUCUGUCUUUAGUUUUGUUUUAGUUUUUGAAUGUUUUAAUCACUUUAUUAUUAUUAUUAUUAUUAUUAUUAUUAAUGCAAAGUAUUCUAGAUUGCCAGAUGGCGGGUAAUGUAAAAAAAUCUUUGAAAUAAGUCAAUAACCAAACAAACUAAUCUAAUUUGCUUAAUAUUAAAACCCAAAGUGCUUUGACCAAAUCUGAAUUUAAAAAAUCAUUUGUUUCACCUCCCAGUAUCUCUCACAUUUUCUUUUUAAAGGCAAAAAAGCCCCAUCUCCCCACCCCAAAAUAAUGUUAAAACAAGGAUAGGGGUUACAGGCCAAUGUGACAGAGGAAGAGAUCAUUGUUCCCUAGGGUGGGGGGAAGAAAAACUUGAAAGGCCAGAAUUGAAACUUGCACAGGCAAAAAAAACAAAAAACCCUACAUAAGCAAAAAGAUUACAGCUGGUGCCUAAAGAUGAUGGGGAAGAUCUGUUUAAAGGUUGGUCACAUUUCCAAGCAAAUGCAGAACUUCAGAGAACCAAAGGCCUUCAUACUCAAAGUGACAGACAGUCUUUUCUUGGUGCAGUGAAUACAGUACAGUCUGAAGGAAAGUUACAGGAAACAUAGGAUACCAGGUCAGCCAGAUAAUACCACUAAUCCAGUAUUGUUUCUUUCUGGUCCUGAAUCUCUGAGAUAGCAAGCAGGGGUCUUUCAAAUGUCCUGCUACUGGAAAUAUUUUUAGACCAGGUUUCCCCAACCUGGUGUCCUCUAGAUCAGCUUCUCUCAAACUUUGGUUCCCCAGAUGUUCUUGAACUACAACUCCCAUCAUCCCUGACCAUUGGCGAAGCUGACUAGGAAUGAUGGGAGUGGUAGUCCCACAGCAUGCAGAGACCCAAGGUUGAGAAAGGCUAAUCAAAAUAUUUUGGAGUACAACUCCCAGUGCACCCAGACGCUGUAGUCCAAAACAUCUGGAGGGCACCAGGUUGGCAAAGGUUCUUUAGACAGAUACCAUAGAUUGUCCUUGUGUCAAUAGGGGUGUGUGGGUGUGUGGGUGUGAAUCUGAACUUAGCCUAUGGUUUAUUACUGUAGAUCAUGGCAUAAGUAAGAAGACUGGCAUUACUAAACAUGGUGACCCUCCAUUAUGAACUUUCUUGAACCCUGGUACCAGUCUAAUCUCAAAGCAUGCCCUGGAAGGCAUUCAUAAAAUAUCUUGAGUUCCUCACACCUCGUAAAAGUCAGCACAUGUAAAUCAAGUUGCCAGUAAACUCUGUUUAACACCUGAAUGGAUGACAUCAAGAUAAUGGUGAGAUAAUCUUAAAACAGGAGGCGGGCAAAGGAUGGCCAGGUUUGCUCACUGGGAACAUAUUCUUUCAACCUUUUGUUAAGCAAAACACAUGGUAGUAGGCAGGAAACUCUGGGAUAAAAUGAGAUGGGGGACACUUGGCUUGCCAGUAGUACAUGUGAAAAGGAUCUAGGAGUCUUAGUAGAUCACAAGUUGAACAUGAGUCAACAGUGUGAAGAAGCAGCAAAAAAGGAGAUCAGAAACUGGAAGAAAAUGUGAACACGGAGUAGGAAGAGAAUAAGCAGGGUCUAAAAUGGCAGGACACGCAAUUUGCCUGGGAUACAAAUUAGCCUAGGCAAGCAGGCAGCCUGAUUUUAUGAGAAAGUGAAAUUCCAAAAAGAACAUAUUAGUGUGCUAUUUUGCUAAAUUGCAAACAAAUAAAUAACAUUAGAUUUGUACAACAAUUGAACAUGUAGCAAGAACGCUCCUUGCUACAGCAAAUCAACUAUAAUUAUUUCCUAAGAAAAUAAAGGGCUGAUUAGAAAAGAGAAAACAGGAGGGUAUUAAAUGGUGGUUACUCAGCAAAAGCAUCACUCCUUGCCAAUUAAUGACACAGAGCCAAGUAAAUAACAGAAAGCAUGUUCAAGUUGCAUUGAAAACUGUGGGACUGGAUAUAAGUUAUAAGCUCUGGUCAUGAUCUGGCAGGAUGUUCUCCUAUGCAAGUCCAGUUAAAAUGAAUGGAAGCAGCUCUCUGCAUUUGAAUGGAGCAAGCACAGGAGCUUCAAAUGUGACUAAUUUCAAUGGAAUUUAAGCAUGGAUAUAUUUUCUUCCAGUUGCACCCACAGAAUUAGAUUUAUUUAUUUCAGUAUAUAUUCAAAGGUCGCUUCAAGACAUACUAUGGUGGAAUCUACACGCAUUUUUUUAAAAAAAACCCGCUGUGAAAAUGCUUUAUUUUACAACCUUUUGAAAAAUACAUUGAAUUUUGCAUAGCUCACUGUUGCUAUCUAGUGCCACAUUUGUAUACUGCACUUUACAACACAUUUAAAACGUUUUAUUUGCAGCUGUAUAGCUGGGUCCUAUGAGGUUUAUUAUAACACAUGGCAAAAAGUUAGAUUAGCUGAGUGAUGGGCAAAUUUACCCAGACUCUGUUCAGAUUGGUAGCAGUGGAGAAUACUGAGGGUGGGGGGAUUGAGAGAGACAGAGCUUUAAAUUCACUAUUUCAGUAGACAUUUUGGAUUCCUCAUGGGCACAAAAAAGUAGGAGGUUCACACCGCUGCAGGAGAUGGAUUUCUCACAGACACCCCAUGAAAAGUAUGAGGGACACUCCAGAGAUGCUCUGGUGCUCCCAAUGCAGGCAUUUCCACCAGGAGAGUGAGGAGAAGAGCACACUUUAGUGGGGCCAAGGGACCCAAGAGCCCAGUCCAGGCUACAACCCCACUGCAAGGAGGGGAGGAAAAUGAGGCUCAAUCAAUAGGAGAUCUUUGAAGAUAUUUAUGGAAGGUUAUUCCCCUGUAUCUACAUAUGUUCAGUCCCUGGCAUCUCUGUAGGACUGGGAAAGAAGCCUUUCUGGAACCCCAAAGAGUCACUGCCAAUCCAUGUCAACAAUGUGGUGUUAGAUGUGUCUGUGGUCCGACUCCUGGUUUCCUUUGAUGCUCAUACCAGCAAAAGAAUGCUCUCAUAACACCAUUAAGUUCAGAAUCUAACUGCACCACAGUGUCACCUAACAGCCCUGUGAUGGGAAGUGGAAACUUACUCCCAUAGAUCCUGCUUGCCUUGCAUACCAAACCUGUCUUAAACCAUGCCCAUUUUUUAAACAUCCUUCUUCUCCUCCCCCCAGGUUUGACUGUGGUUCUUCAAGGCAGCCAGCAUCAGUAUGGAAAAAACUCGAUAGGUAGCUAUCAUCGCUUCGACAAAUGGAUGAAAACUAGUCUCUGAAUCUCUUCUCGUUCUUCCUCCACGCUGCAUUCCCUGAGAAUUCUUUGUGGUGAAUGGAUUGGCAGUGCUUAGGCCAACGAGGAAAUCCCCCCCCCCUUUUCACAGCAUCUGUAAACAAUUAACAGGAAUGCUAGCAAAAGCUCCGCUCAAAAGGGUGCUGUUCUUACAAAGCUAUCGUGGAAUUAUGUCUUUGUGCAGUGUAAUCUCUAUGAAGUGCCCUUGGGCAGGAAGCCAUAGCAAGCAAGCUGGCGGGUUCAUGAUAUCUUCUUAUCUAACAGGUUUGCCUAAGUAACAUGUACCUGCAAGGUCUCUAGGAUUUUAGGGUGGGGGGUUUUUUUUGGUUUUUUUUAAACUUACUGAACUCAAUGGAUAUUGUACCAGCUCUCCUGCUUUCAGAAUACUUGAUGUUUACUUUCAUCUAUUUCCUCCCUCUUUUGAUUUCAUUUUAAACACGGGGAAGACGUGGAGCUCAGAGUUGCAGCAUCUGCUUAGCAUACAGGAAGUCCCAAGUUCAUUCCCUGGCCAGAGGCGGAGCAACCUGCUCUGGUACCCGGAGCGGUGCUCGUCCCAGGGGGGCUGAUGCGCUGCCUGCGGGGGCAUGGCGCGUGCCCCGGGAGGUGCCGCCAAUUGGGGUUGGCAUUUUGUCACACACUCCGCUUUGGAAUGGCACCCGGGGGAAACCGCCCCCCGCCCCCGCCUCGGAACUCCCCUGUCCCCGGCAUCUCCAAGCAGAGCAGGAAAUGCCCCAUGUCUGAAAUCCUGGACAGCCACUACCAGUCAUUGUACACACUGCUGAACUAGUGGUAUAACUCUGUAGAAAGCAUCUUCCUAUGGUCCUGUUUCAUCUUAAUCAUUUCAAAGUAUAAUUCAGUCUCUUGAUUUCCUUCCCAGUGAAUAUUUUUCUCAGAAAUUGCCCUGUCUAGGAACUUCAGGUAUCCUCCCCACAAUGUCAGCGUCUGAUGUGACUUUUGCAUGGGCACAAUGAGUCUAUAGAUUUAGCAUCUUCCAUCCAAGUUGCAUUGAUGAGGCAGGUAUGGAAACACCUAAAAUAUAGAGUUGGAUAUGCAGGACAGUUUCUUCAGGCAUUAUAAAACAAGGGAUAACCAAUGUGGUGUCCUCCAGAUUGUAAGGGAUGAUGAGAGUUAUAGCUGAGCAACACCUGAAGAACUACAGGUUUUCCACCCCCUGUCCUGGACCUUUGCUCUCUAGCUGAUGUAUCCUGACCACUGAUUCCAGGGGUGCCAAUUUGAAUAAAAUAUUGGGGGAGCCCAGGUAAGCCCCACCCCACAUAACUGAUCACAUGACACAGCACACGCACACCAUUUGAAAGCCUAUCAACUAUGGGGCCCCCAGCCCCCUCACAUAUUUUAUUGGGGGGCCGAAGGGACCUCAGCCCCUAGAAGUUGGCUCCUAUGACUGAUACAUAGAUUCUUUCUCCUCUCUGGAGCAUGAGAAACUUGUUCUUUACUGCUCAGAAGAAUGAACAUUGGAGACCUUCUUCCGUCUCUGCCAGUUAUUGGACUAGAAGGCCCUCUUCUCUCUGCAUUCUUUCCAGUGCAGUGACACUAUGAAGUACUAAUGUUCUAUGAAUUCAGGAAUGUGGUGGUGCUAAAGUCAGUCUAUUCCUGUUCCAUUACCUACCGAAUUCUAGUCUUAAUUUGAAAAAUUCCACCCAAGUCGAAAAAAUAUGUUCCACGUACAAUUACAGCUAAGCACAUUGGGAAGCAUUUCCAAAGCUUAUAUUUUCAAGUGUUCCUUCUCGAUCUUACUUGUCCUCUUUCAGUUCCCAUUUCCAUGGAAACAAGGUAGAAAAGGCUGUCAUUGAGCACUGUACAAGCAACAGUCAGGAUUGACAACGGGAGAUCUUGCAGAUACAUUUUAGCUGCUGGAGGUCAGCAGAAAAUAGUGGUAGGAAACCAAGUCACAAUCUAUAUGAAGCAACGUGCAUUGUGUCCUGAAUGGCACAUGAAGUGAAGCAAGGCUGAUGAGAUCAUGAGGUAAAUGAAUAUUCUUCCCACGUACACAGUCACAUAAAUCCCUCUGGCUGCAGUUCAGCACUUGGGGACCAAUGGGGUUGUGCAUACCUACCUACCUGUGUGCUGGAUUGUGGCCAAUCCUUUUUUUCCCACCAGGCCAUUAAAUCACAGUUGUUUCUUCCAGAGCCUUACACAAUAAAACACAGUUUGCAUCUUUAUUUCCCUCUUCAUUCUUUAUAUGUGCAGCAAAGCAGCAGUCUGCACAUCUAUCACCCAAACUAUAAGCUUGACGAUACAAUAUCCAUGAGGUGCUCUUUGUCACUUGAUGGUUGGCAAGAUUGGUGCCAGUUUGAGGGAACCCUCAGCAAAGUGUCCCCAGUGGACCCUUCCUGUAAGAAGUGGGUUGAUCUGGUGAUGGGAACAGCAGGAGUCCAUUUAAGUCUCCCACAAUGACACUCGGUCAGGGGCACUGUGGGAAAUUUAAAGGGUGGCUCACAGACCAAGACAUCAGGGCAGGUGUCAGGGCCAGCUGGUCCUACUAAGGGUGUCGAGAGCUGGCGCCAAGCCUGACACCUGGAUGCAGCAUUCACCAAGUGAGCAAUUGCAUCACAUAUGUCGAGCUCGAAACUCAUCACCCAGAAAGGUUCUGUGACUUCCAUGAGUACGGGAAGGUGAAUUUAUUUCCUUCCAGUGCCACACAAAAAAUGCCUGUUACAGAGACGAAAGAUACAUGAUGGAUAACACUGACAUGAAAUAACAACGUGAGCCAAGGGGGUGUUCAGUAAUUACAUUCAGUGUCCAAAAGGAGAAAACACGAUCUCAUUGACUCCAAUCAGUCUCUCCUUGUUCGACAUUCCGACUAGAGCACUUUCCUAAAUAAGAUCUAAAGCCUCAUUUAUUCUACUCUCCUUCUACACACACACACACCCUUCACCUUUGCUUUUGAAUCAGACUCUAUUAGCAAAGGUGGCCACUUUCCUUAUUGCAAGAAGGGCUUUGCAGCACCCAAUGCGGCAUUAAACGAAACAAAAGAAAAAAAUAUACAAGAAAGAAAAGGGCAACAACCGGACAGCUCCACCAGUUUGCGGAUGGUGCUGAUAAUGCCAGGGUUGCAGGUUUGAUCCCUGUAUGGGGCAGCUGCAUUGCAGGGGGCUGGACUAGAUGAUCCUCAGGGUGCCUUCCAACUCUACAAUUCUAUGAACCCCAAAUGGUACCAAAGUGUGAUAUCAGGAAUUGGCAUCAGGCCUCCGCAAUGUUUGGGAGAAGCUGGCACCUCAACAUCCAAUACCUUUCCAUAUAGCAGUUUAUUGUUGACUCCCCAUUACUAUGCAUGCAAAUUUUCUGCAGCAUUCAUACGACAUUAUCCUCAUCAAAAUGCUAUCCCAUAAUAUUUCCCCAUUAAAUCCAGAUUUACCUCUCUCUCUCUCUCUCUCUCUGUCUCGUGUGUGUGUGUUACUUGUGGGAUUUUCAGGAACAAUUGGGAAAAUAACCUGGGUUUGAAUCCAUAAUAAACAGCCAUGGUGGGGGAAAGCACCCCAG